CUUGUGACUUGAGAGCCGCGCUUCUUAAAGAAAGGCUGAAAGACCUCUCGUAGCCUGCGGCGUUCCUAACUGGUUUGUACUUCCUUGGUUUUGAGAGCUAAAAACUUAAGAUCCACCCUUGAUCUUCAAGACAGGGAAUUGAAAGGUAGAGAAAUGGAAAUGCACACGGAGUAACCUGGGGAAGGCUGAGUGGUUCGAAUGAUGGAUCUGUAGCCUGAUAUAUACUAAGUGAGCUUUUCAUCGUUGUCAUGAAGAACACUUUCAGAGGAUGAAAAGUUGCUUUGGCUCACCAUUUCCGAUAAAAAGUUCAUGUUUUUAGGACUGUGAUCAGGUGGAGAACCAUGAUGGGAGCACAUGGAGGAAGACCACGCUCACCUCACUGUCAGCUGAGAAACAACAAAUAAGGAGAACCAAUCUGGAGACGGGAUAUGCAACCCUAAGGAGUAGGCUCUAUCUCCUGAGAGCAUCUUGCACGGCAAUCAAGCUUUUAGCACUGACUUUUGGAAGAACGUUUUAGAUCCACACCAUUCCACAAAGCAGAACUGCUGAAUCACACAAACUUAACUUCUGAGGAAGCUCCCCACUCUCCAAGUGUGUAGAGGCCACGCACAGUUGAAGUAGGGAAGGGAGAGAGUGAAUCUCUGCCCUUCCUGUAUGUUAACAGUGCAAUGAGAGAAGCACGUGGUUUGAGAAUAAUUCAUGAGAGGAACAUGUGUUUCAAAGGAUCUCUGUAUUUUCCCAGAAAUAGUUAAUAUGUUAAUUUUCCACCAAUUUGAAAACUAGCCUUUUUGGGUUUUCGGUUUACGGUGCUACUGUCUACCAAACUAUAGAUUCUAAGAGAGCAUAACAACAGCUACUUAAAAGUAUCUGUGUCGUUACCCGAAUAGAUGUUUUGAUGGCACAGCACUAAGUUAGAAAAGUACUGAAAGAUUAAUUCCGUACACUGCAUUAGCUCAAAUCAGCACUGAUGAGCCUUCCUCCAUUAAGUUGUGACUUAACAGUAAUAGAGGACAGCAUGACCCAUCUUAUAGUAGUUAUAAGCUGUUUAUAGUGAGCCAAAAUCCUAAUCUUUAUGCAUGUAACUCUUCAGCUACGUGUUUAAACUGUAAACAGUAUUGAAUAAGCACUAUUACAGCUGCUAGCUACCAUUGUCCAUAAAAUAGCCUCACAUUUCUCCCACUUGCACAGUUGCCAACUGCUUUGUUUUUUAAUGUAUAGAAUGCAAGCUAGAGACAAGAGGUGACAAGAUGAGACUUUUUUUUUUCAGUCUGUUAUCACCUCAGCUGUUUUGACUUAAUGGCCACAUCACUGAUUCACUUUGUGGUUACAAAACCUCAGAUCUUCAACAUGAGCUAUCGAUGGCUUUCCCCUUCAAACACUUAACAAAAUGGACUUACUAAACCAAAAGCUAAGAGUUCUUGUCAGAAUCCAUCUUGUUAAUUUUAGCCUAUCUUAUCUGCCUACUGUUGAAUUCUAUGUCUUCCUACUUCAAGUCCUGAAUGCUGAGAUUACAGGGUGUACCAUUAUGCCUAGCUAAGUUUCUCUACAAUUUUAAAUUUAAUAUACAUGCUAAAUUGUCUUUGUCUUUCUGCUUUGUAUAGGUACAUAUUUAUUAAAAAAUCUCAAAGCAUAAAAGUUACAAUUAGAAAAUAACAUUCUAAAAUGAAUAAAAUUAUUUUUUCUAUGUAAU
ensembl:lncRNA